AGUACAGUAUUUUAAUAAAAAUAUUAAAUUGCAAAUUUAAAGAUAUGGAUUCCCAUCUAUACUU
rnacentral:tRNA from 1 species